rnacentral:misc_RNA from 1 species
GAAAAACUUACUUUAUAUGUUUUUUGGAGGAAAUAUGGCCAUUAUUGUAUGGAAGUGUUCUUGAACAGCCUAUUUCUUGAUGUAUUUAUUCAUCUUCAUUUUGCUUUGUCAAUGAGCUACAUUCCUUUUGACAUGCUAAGUUAACAGUGACAGAAGACAUUGUGAUAAAUGCGAACAACCAAGUUUAUACAAACUGUGCCGUACAUCUCUGUACCCUUUAUUUGCCUUUUUUCUUUUUACAGUUUUAUUUUUAACAGUUUUGUUGCCUUAAAAUCAGAUACUGAAUAUUCAUAGUCUUUCCUUCUUUUUAUGUUUUGUAUUGAUUUAACAGUGCCAAUUGAAAUGUAUUUAAGAUGCAUGAGCACAUGUAAAAUUUUAUUCUUAUUUCAGAGAUCACAAUUUCCUAUAUUAUACAUAUUAGUGCAUUGUAUGUGUAAACGCCUUAUGAUAAAAUUCUGGGAUUUGAUUUUAAAAAAUAGUGUAUGUAUGUACAAAUGUACAUGUACAGUUUACUUAUGCAGGCCCUUGUCCAAAAUAUUUUAUUCUAACAUGUCUGUAAAUAUGUAUAGGGAAAAAAAUAAAUUGAUUAUUUAAAGUUUU